rnacentral:lncRNA from 1 species
ACAGAAGACGAAGAGCUGGAAUAGAGCUCGCCUCGGCUCUGCUGGCCUUGGCUGCAGCUCUUCCAGAAACCCGGGGCGCCCACAGAAGAAUCUCUUACCUGGCUCUCUCUUCAGGGAUGACAUCAUCGGCUCACACCAGUCUUCCAGGACCACCUUCUGGAUGCCAAGGCUGCUGCUCGAGUACCUGCUGUGCACCUCUACCUCCUGGUACCCCAGCCACUCCCUCAAGUUGCCUGCAUGUUAUAUGGCCUAGCCAAGGAGCACGGAUUCCAGGAACCCACUACCAUACAGAGCAACUCCUUGUGGACCCCCCUGGGAUCAGGACAGCGAGGGACAAGCGACAAAGAGGAUCAUCAGUGGCCAGCUAGUUUCUCUGGGGUUCAAACCUUGAACCAGUGCCCUAGUGAGGGGGCACUGGCCAUGGCCCUUGACCUUUGCUCUGCUUGUGUCUUGAGUCUGAGCCCUUUCCUGUACAUCUGUGCUCGUGUUCAUCUGCUAGUGAACUGGAGUGCUGCCCUCCCCGAGGAGGGUCGUCCCUUGUGACUGAUCAUGCUGUCCUAACAAUGUCCUGAGCAAAAGGGUCCCUUUGGGAACCUCUCAGGAGGGGGACCCGGGUCAGGGGCGACCAGCAUCUUGCUGGCAACUCCGUGGGUGGGGUGGGGUGGGGUGCUUCCUUCUGGAAUGAGCACGUGGCUGACCCCCCAAGGCAUGUCCCCUCCCCCUCCUCCACCCACCUUCUCGGAGAUGUCCCUUUUGGGGUAGUGGGGACAUUAGGAGCAACCUCCUAGGGUUGUUGUGAGAAUUAAAUGAACUGCAGCAGCCUGAGGCAGGGCUGGGCAGAGACCUCAGCACAUGUUUGUUGAAAGGUUUGCAGGUGGAUCUAGUCCUCCCGUUCAUGGCUCAUGUGUCUCAACCAUUCUCUCGCAGACUCCUGCAGCCCCUAUGCCCAGGGCUCUCCUUGCGCCAGAGGUAGGUGGGAAAGAGAACUGGGAGAGCCCGGACUCACUCAUGAGAUUGAACUUAAAUUCACACGGAGGACACUUGGACUCUUGCCACAUUAGCCCCGGCUUCUCGAGGCCUGUCUACACUCGCUGCUUUCCUUCCUCACCUCCAAUUUCCCCUCCAACCCACUGCUUCCUGACUCGCUCUUCUCCAUCGAACGGCUCUCGCUCAGCCUCCCUCUGUUUGUCUCCCUCCCUCUCCCAAUUGGAUCUGGCCCCUGUUGGGGUGCCCCUAGGCCACCCCUUCCUCUUCUGGGUGUCCCAGCACCAACCCGGUUUAAGGCUUGGCUUGCUGGCCCUGGAGAUCCCGUCGCCGUCUUCGUCGAACUCGAAAUCCUAGCCAUCGUCCUUCCCUGGCCUGUCGCGUCUUCCUGUGCCAUUUGCUGUUGUGCUCAGGUUCCACGAGCUGCCCAUCUCCACAGAAGAGCAGCUGGCAUUGCCCACCGGCCAUGCCGGCUGAAGAAAAGAAGACUGAGGACCCCAGGAUGCCCAGCGCGAGGACCCCAGGAAGCCCAGCGCGAGGACUCCACCCACGACGCCCAGCGCGAGGACUUCACGCACAACACGUUGCAACCCUCCUGGAUUAGGCCAAAGCCAUCAUCUGGAAUCCUGCGUGGGACCCUGGACACACGGACACAGACACCUGCCCCCAGGACCCUCCAACUGUAAAUCCCUCUACAGCCACGGGGACGCCUUGCACAUUUCCUGUGGGACAUGCUGGACCCAAGACUCUGGACCCUGGCCUCCCCUUGAGUAGAGAGACCCACCUACUGACUGAUGAACUGCGCUGACCCUGGGGUCAGGCAUGUGGCCUUGAUCCCUACCCAUGGACCCUGAGACUUGGGGGGGUGGGAGAAAGGCUGUUGUGUCUUCACUGUUGAGUCUACAUCUGUGAAAUGGGCUCAGGUUCCUACCUCACAGGGCUGUUGUGAGGCAGCCGCAAUGUGCUUAGAAGCAUGGGGCCUAGUGGCUCAUGGUGCUUUCAAUAAAUUUCUUGUUUUAACUAAA